ACUGUGGAAGGAUUAAUAAAUGUUAUGAGAUUUCCUGAGGAAUAAAGGCACUUUACAGAGCCAAUAAAAGUAGUUUUAAUAGCUACAAAUACAAUUUUCCUCAACGUCAGUUUUUAAUUUCCCCUAAGGUAAGUAGACAGAUACAGAAGACAGCUAGGAGAACCAAUUAGUUGUUUUAUUGUUGUAUACCCCAACAUGAAUAGCAGCACCAAAGGUUCAGUUUUCAGUACUAACUGUUGCAUUGUACCUUCGCUCCAUCUCCAUGCUCACUCGCAUUUCUAAUACUGUCUCGCCUCUAAACAAGUUGAUGCCUGAGAAGUAAAGCUGGGAGAGCUCAUGUCAAACAUCCACACAUAUGCUGUUCUAUGCGUAGAAUUUUGACAUGUAUAGCAAAGAGAAGUUUCCGAACCUGUGGUCCACAUAAUAGUUAUCUCUGCCCCCUGGGCUGCUUGCGUCAACAUUCCCUUCUCUACUGAGGCUCUGUUGUCAAAAUAAGGCUUGUUAGUUGAUUCUGUGUGAUUUAAGCCUGUAGCCUCAGACAAAAGACCCUUGGAGCUCUUUUCUUCUCCUUUUAUCUUUUUCAUGAUUUAGUGUCAUGAAAACUCACCUGAGAUUCUCCUUGGUGACACGGGACUUCUACUGGUUUCUUUUGGGAUGCAACUGCAGCUGAUAUUGAAAUAUCUCCGUUUCUUCCUGCAGUGUAUUUACUAUCAUGUAACAUUCAUACUUCUCUAUGUACCUUCCCAGGAAAUUUCCAAGUGUAUACUUUAUUUAUUUGGGGAUGAUUUCAAAUUAUAUAGAGCCAACGAGAAGAUCUGCUAGAGAAUGUGUGCAGUUGGUCUUGAGGCUGAAAGCCUCCCCUGAAGCUCCCUGUUCUGUUGCUUAUUUAUCUAUUCUUUAAUUUUUCCAGAUUAUGAUACUUCUGGAUCCAUGAACCUUGUUCCUGCUCCAGAGAAAGUUGUGAAGGAAGUAGUCACUGUGAGUGAUAUUUCCUGCUUACCUAAAGGUAAAGCAAUAUAGAGAACAGCAAGGUGGAUAGAACCCAUACAGUCAAGAUAGACUUUUUUUGGUAUAUUUUUUAUACCGUAAAAUUUAUUUUUUAAUAGUAUAUGAUUCAGUGUUUUUUUUUCUUAUUAAUAUAUUUUCACAAGUUUGUUCCACCAUCACCAUUUCUAUCUGAUAUGACCUUUAAAAAAAUACUUUUGCAUUGUAACGGCUUAAGAGGGAGAAAGAUGGUAUGAUAGGCAGAAUAGUGAUCUGUCCCCCCCCCAGAAAAAAAGUCUACAUCCUAAUCCCUGGAACCUGCAACUAUGUUAGGUUACAUGGCAAAGGGAAAUUAAGGCUGCAGAUGGAAUUAAGAUUGCUAAUCAGCUGACGUUAAAACAGUAAGAUGUUCCUGUAUUAUCUGGGUGGGCCCAAUGUAAUCACAAGAAUCCUUAAACGUUGGAGAGUGAGGCAGAAGUGUCAGUAUAAGAGUCAGAGGAGAAGAUGUGAUGAUGGAAGCAGAAGUCAGAGUGAUGUAAUUGCUGAUAUGAAGAUGGAGGAAGGUGCCAUGAGCCAAGGAAUACAGGAGGCCUCUAGAAUCUGAAAAAGGUAAGGAAACAGAGUCUCUUCUAGACCCUCCAGAAGGAAGCAGCCCUGUUAUUACCUUGAUUUUAGCCUAGUGAGAUCCACUUUGGACUUCUGACCUCUAAAACUGUAAAAUAGUCCAUUUGUAUUGUUUUAAGCUACUAAAUUUGUAGUAAUUUGUUGUAACAGCCAAUGAGGAAGGAAGAGAGAGAGAGAUUAGGUGGUUUUUGUACUUCUUGCCCCUUUAAUGAUAUCCCAGACAGAGCCAGCUUUGUCACUUCAGUUGAUCCUGUUGAUCUUUGAAAGAGUGGUUGAAAAUAGAGGCUCUUCUCUCAAAUGCUCAUAGGUCAUUUGAUGUGUUUCACCCAGUUAGAGCUCAGAAUCUCCACCAAUGAUAUAAAUGGACUAGAAUUUUGACUGGUCUUGAGAGCUUACAAACAAAGAUCUGCACACCUACAUCCCCAGGCACUGACUCCACUUCAGGUGAAGUUAAUUGCACCAAGAGAAACUCCCUUGACAUCAAGACGGAGUCAGCUAUUGAAAACCUUAUGGAGUGAAAUUCUACUCGGAAACGUGGAUUUACCAGGAGUCGGAAUCUACUCAACAGCAAUGGGUAUGGAAUAAAUGAAGGAGGAGGAAUGUGGAAGAAAGAAGGCAAAGACCCUUCUAAACUCAACCGAUAGAUGGCAGCUUUUGGGGGACUUCUCAUUUUUUUCUCCAAGAAGAAUAAUCAUUCUCAUGUUAUCAGCCUAGAUCUCAUGAAACCCAGCAUGAGAUUUACUGCUACAGUUUUCAUAUAACUCUGUGUUGAUUCUGCACUAAAGGAUAUAGAAGACUGGUUUUCGGCAAACAGCAAAUGUGUAAAGGACUGUUUCUCUUUUUUUAACUUUGCCUUGUCACAUAUUACUGCCAAACUCCUUGUGCUUAUGUGUUCAUAUGACUGCUCUCCUGGGUAGCAUUUCAUGUGUUUGAUUUACCAGAUAUGUGAAGCCAUCCCUUUGGUGUGGGGAAAGCAGGGGAUGCAGUUUGGGUGCCAGAAUAUGAAAAUUCUUUCUUGGUUAAUGGACAUAUCAAAUCAGCGCAUCAACAGGGAAGUGAAUGACAAAAAACUGUAGACACCUUCUUGGACAACAGGUGCUGACUUUUGCAAAUAAAAGGUUAAUUUUAUUUUCAGUCAAUUUUUCCUUCUUAUGAUGUCUGUUCUGUUUUUCUGAAUGUGGUCAACAGGAAAAAAAUUGCCUUCAACAUUCAUUUUAUGUGACAACAUUUCAGGGAUUACCUAUUGUUGGAUUAUUUAAGUAGAGAAUAUAUAAACUAUUUCCCAUUAUACAAACUUGUAAAGGGGGUAGAAUCUUUGAAAGCUAGCAUGAGGCUAUUCAAGGGCAUCCUGUAAAGCUGGCCUGAUUUACUGACUCCACAUAACAACAACCAUCAUCUUCUCUUUUUUCUGGAUUGCAUUGGAUUUAUUAUAUAUUUGAAAACAUAGCUUUAUAUUUAAUAUAUCGUUUCUCUUUUUUUGUCCCAUUAAAAAAAACAAUAUCCUUUAUGAGUUUUUCUAUGUUUAAGGCUAAAAAAUUCCAAGUGACUGCCAACAGAUAUUAUUUAAACUAGGCUGGAAUCUGACUGAUGGAGAAGUGAUUUGCUUUAACUGUAUAUAACAGACCUGUGCUUAAAGGAAAAAGAAAAUAAAAUUCUGUAAGAUAAACAAAAGCAGCAGUCUAUGAACAAUUCCGAAUAAGAGUUCUCUUUUGAUUUAUCAGUCUAACAUUCACUAAUCUUCUUAUUACACCACUAACAUCCAGCAUAUCCACAUUAAAGUUGUGUAUGCAACUUAGAAUGUAAGUAUAAAGAUUAAAAAAUAUUCUGAGAUUAUAAUCAUUUUCCAUGAGCUUCAAAAAUGCAUCAAAUUAGAGGAAUGCAUAACUAAACUGCAUUUCUCUCCAUUAACUCAGCUAUAAUGUGUAGGACAGGCAGCCUAUUGCAGGGGGUAUAAAGUGGGAGGAAAAGGAACCAGGGUGGUUGAUCCCAAGGUAAUUCUACAGGAUGAAUUUUUUAGCUCCCAUGAACUUUCCACAGUGAGAGGUAGUGUGCCAGAGAGCAAAAGGAAGAUGUAAACAACAUG